AACGAACGCUGGCGGCAGGCCUAACACAUGCAAGUCGAACGAACCUUCGGGUGAGUGGCGCACGGGUGCGUAACGCGUGGGAACCUACAUCUAGGUGCGGAAUAACACAGAGAAAUUUGUGCUAAUACCGCAUAAUGACUCCGGUCCAAAGAUUCAUCGCCUAGGGAUGGGCCCGCGUUAGAUUAGAUAGUUGGUGAGGUAAAAGCUCACCAAGUCGACGAUCUAUAGCUGGUCUUAGAGGACGAUCAGCCACACUGGUACUGAGACACGGACCAGACUCCUACGGGAGGCAGCAGUGAGGAAUAUUGCGCAAUGGGGGAAACCCUGACGCAGCCAUGCCGCGUGAGUGAAGAAGGCCUUAGGGUUGUAAAGCUCUUUCAGAUGCGAAGAUAAUGACGGUAACAUCAGAAGAAGCUCCGGCUAAAUUCG
rnacentral:rRNA from 1 species